AGAUGUGAGGGCCAUCUGACUGUGACAUCUGUCACCCCAUUGAUCACCAGGGUUGAUUCAGCUGAUCUGGCUGGCUAGGUGGGUGUCUCCUUCCUCCCUCACCACUCCAUGAGUUUCCCUCCUGAAGCUGUGCUCUCAGCCAAAGAGGAUGGCCUUCCCCGAAUAGAGAGGGACCAGUCUUCAGUCCAGGGUAUAUUAGUAGCUGUGCUCCCCUGCUAGAACCUCCAAACAAGCUCUCAAGGUCCAUUUGUAGAAUAACAUAGGGUAGUCAAGUUUCCAAGACUCCAGACACAUCCAAGAGGCACUGCAUGUGGGAGUCUGCCUUUCUAA
ensembl:misc_RNA 7SK 7SK RNA